rnacentral:rRNA from 1 species
GACGAACGCUGGCGGCGUGCUUAACACAUGCAAGUCGAACGGAAAGGCCCUGCUUUUGUGGGGUGCUCGAGUGGCGAACGGGUGAGUAACACGUGAGUAACCUGCCCUUGACUUUGGGAUAACUUCAGGAAACUGGGGCUAAUACCGGAUAGGAGCUCCUGCUGCAUGGUGGGGGUUGGAAAGUUUCGGCGGUUGGGGAUGGACUCGCGGCUUAUCAGCUUGUUGGUGGGGUAGUGGCUUACCAAGGCUUUGACGGGUAGCCGGCCUGAGAGGGUGACCGGCCACAUUGGGACUGAGAUACGGCCCAGACACCUACGGGAGGCAGCAGUGGGGAAUAUUGCACAAUGGGCGGAAGCCUGAUGCAGCAACGCCGCGUGCGGGAUGACGGCCUUCGGGUUGUAAACCGCUUUCGCCUGUGACGAAGCGUGAGUGACGGUAAUGGGGAAAGAAGCACCGGCUAACUACGU